GUAUUAGUUCAAGCUGCCCGUGGAAAACGGAAAUGUUCAGUGUUCAGAGUGGGUUGCAUAUUUCACUCUGACAUCUCACUAUCAUGUUUUUCAAUAUGAUAGUGGUUAGGCAAUGCAGAUAAUUUUUUUUCUUUUUUCUCUGGCUUUCUUCAUUUUUCUUUUGGCUUUCAUUUAGUUUUUUAUUUACUCUUUCCUUCCAACAUUUUCCCCUCCUUUCUUUCUCUUGUCUUUCUUUCCUUUUUUUGGGGGGGGUGAUUUGCAGUGAAGAGAGAUUGGAUUACUUUUUCUCAGAACAAAGAGCUUAAAUUGAUCAGUAGCAUCGAUGUUGGAGUGGCUUAUACAUGAAUUAUUUGGAUAUCUCUGGAGAAAACAGAAAGAAGUUGAAAUGGCAUGAAUGAAUUAAAGCAGCUGGAUUCCCCAUGGCUUCCUCAAGAGACCCUGUUGCUCUGAUUAAAUAAUUUUCAUGACACUGGAGAAAACAGUUUUGGGAACAAGUGCUUGUUCAACACAGUUUCAGUACUUGGUAAGUCCCCUGGGUAUGAUGGGGGAGGGAGUUGUCAUUUCCUGCCAAA